rnacentral:rRNA from 1 species
GAUGAACGCUGGCGGCGUGCCUAAUACAUGCAAGUCGAACGCUUUGUCUUUAAUUGAUAUGAAGAGCUUGCUCUGAUUUGAUUUUAUCUGACAAAGAGUGGCGAACGGGUGAGUAACACGUGGGUAACCUACCUCUUAGCAGGGGAUAACAUUUGGAAACAAGUGCUAAUACCGUAUAACACUAACAACCGCAUGGUUGUUAGUUGAAAGAUGGUUCUGCUAUCACUAAGAGAUGGACCCGCGGUGCAUUAGCUAGUUGGUAAGUUAAUGGCUUACCAAGGCGAUGAUGCGUAGCCGAGUUGAGAGACUGAUCGUCCACAAUGGGACUGAGACACGGCCCAUACUCCUACGGGAGGCAGCAGUAGGGAAUCUUCCACAAUGGGCGCAAUCCUGAUGGAGCAACGCCGCGUGUUUGAUGAAGGGUUUCGGCUCGUAAAACACUGUUAUAAGAGAAGAACGACAUUGAGAGUAACUGUUCAGUGUGUGACGGUAUCUUAUCAGAAAGGAACGGCUAAAUACGUG